CCUACGGGUGGCAGCAGUGGGGAAUAUUGCACAAUGGGCGCAAGCCUGAUCCAGCAACGCCGCGUGAAGGAAGACGGUUUUCGGAUUGUAAACUUCUAUCAUUAGGGAAGAAAGAAAUGACGGUACUUAAAUAAUAAGCCCCGGCUAACUACGUGCCAGCAGCCGCGGUAAUACGUAGGUGGCAAGCGUUAUCCGGAUUUACUGGGUGUAAAGGGAGAGUAGGCGGCAAGGUAAGCGAUAUGUGAAAGCCAUAGGCUUAACCAAAGGAUUGCAUAAGGAACUAUCUAGCUAGAGUGCAGGAGAGGCAAGCGGAAUUCCGGGUGUAGCGGUGAAAUGCGUAGAUAUUAGGAAGAACACCAGUGGCGAAGGCGGCUUUCUGGACUGAAACUGACGCUGAGGCUCGAAAGCGUGGGGAGCGAACAGGAUUAGAUACCCCAGUAGUC
rnacentral:rRNA from 1 species